CGUAAACAGUUCAGCCGGAGCCUGGUAACCGAGUGGCGGCUGCAGCAACGGUCGUCAGCUCCUCCGCGCGGGGCGAAGCGGCAGCUCUGCUUGGGCUGGGCAAGCCGCGGCCGGAGACCCCCGCUGCCGAGAGUAGCGCUGUCAGGGGGCCUUGCAGCUGCAGCCCCGGCACGGGGCGAGGGACGCGGCUGCGUCCCCGCUGGCUGCCCCGCUGCCAGCUGCGAGCAGGAGGCGGCACCGGUCACUGGUGCGCAGAUUCUCCCUCGCCCGCGGAGGCGGGGGCGUCCCUGCCUUCACCCGCACCUAGUGGAGGGGGCGGAUGGUGUGAGGCAGCCGGGACCGGGGUCGCCGCGGCGGGGGGCUGAAGGAGGACGCUCCGCCAGUGACCUGGGCAGCGUGUGCGGUCAGAGCGUCGCGGCAUCGCCCCGCCACCCCCGGCGCUUUCCUGGAAAGCGGAGCGGGAGGCGUAGCGGGGUCUCGCUGUGAAGAUGGCGACCCCCGGGAUGAACUGGCAGCAGCAUUACUACGGCGGCGGCGGCUCCUCAGCCAGCGCUGGGAAAUUCGCCGCGUCCAGUUCCCAGCCGGGGCUCAGCAUGGAAUACAGCCAGGAUCUGCACCUCAAAAUGAGCAAGAAAAUAGCCCAGCUCACCAAGGUAAUAUAUGCUUUAAACACUAAGAAUGAUGAACAUGAAGCUGCUAUUCAAGCCCUUAAGGAUGCUCAUGAAGAAGAAAUCCAACAAAUUCUUGCAGAAACAAGAGAGAAGCUCUUACAGUAUAAGAGUAAAGUUGCUGAAGAAAUGGAUCUUAAGAGAAAGAUCCAGGUUUUGGAAGAGUCAUUGGAAGAUCAUAAAAAGAUGAAACAUCAAGCCUUGACAGAAUUUGAAGCUUACAAGGACAGAGUUGAAGAUAUGCAGCUUUGUGCAGAAGCCCAGCAUGUCCAGCGAGUAGUAACUAUGUCAAGAGAAGUAGAAGAGAUUAGAAAGAAGUUUGAGGAGAGGCUACGAAACUUUGUACAGUUGCAAGUACAGUUUGAGAAAGACAAACGCUCAGCUCUGGAAGACUUGAGAGCAGCACACAGAUUGGAGAUUCAAGAACUUCUGAAAACUCAGCAGAAUCAGAAUGCUACUUUAAGUAAGGGGCAAGAGAAGCUAGAGGAGUUGCACAGCUUGGAACUGGAAGAUUUAAACAGCAAAGUUGAAGAGCUAAGACUGGAGAGGAAAAAACUCAUUGAGGAGUAUGAAGGUAAACUCAGCAAAGCUCAAUCCUUUUAUGAACAUGAACUUGAUGCUUUGAAAAGAUCUCAGCUCUUUACAGCUGAAAGCCUGCAUGCCUGUAAAGAGAAAGAAGUGGAGCUAAGAAGAGAGUUUCAAAGCCAAGAAGCUGUUUUGCGGAAGAACCUUGGGAAACUGAAGACUGAAUUGCAGAUGGUACAGGAUGAAGCGGGUAGUCUGCGAGAAAAAUGCCAAAAGCUUCAGGUAGCUCUCAGUACAGCAGAAAACACUGUUCAGGUGCUUCAAAAACAGCUAGAUGAUGUCAAGGAGGAGGAGAUAUCAUUGUUAAGCAAACACAAGGAGGUGGAAAGUGAGCUAGCAGCUGCUAGGGAACGCUUACAGCAGCAGGCCACAGAUCUUGUACUCAAAGCCAGUCACAUUGGAAUUCUUCAAGCUACACAGAUGACACAGGAAGUUACAAUAAGAGAUUUAGAAUCGGAAACAUCUAGAUUAAAAGAGAAACUAUCUCAGAUGGAAGAGGAAAGAAAUCUAUUGCAGAGCAAAACACAAAGUCUGGAUGAAAGACAAAGGCAGCAGAUUCUGGCAAUGGAAAAGAAGGUAAAUGAAGCAAGGGAAACACAACGAGAGUAUUAUGAGAAAGAGCUGAUAAAGCUGCAAACCAGAUUGGAAGGGGAGGCUGCACAGUUAAAUGAGGCUCAUUCUAAGACUUUGGAAGAAUUAGCAUGGAAACAUCACACUGCGAUUGAGGCUGCACACAGCAAUGCUACCAAGGAAAAGAAAAAGCUGCAACUGGAGUUGGAGCAGCAAUUUGAAAAGGAGAAACUACAUCUGGAAGGGGAUAAGAAUCAGCUUAGACAGCAGUUGGAAAAUAUGAGGGAAGAACUGACGACAAAGCUGACUUCGGCCAAUCAGGAGUUGUGUCGUCUACAAGACCUAGUAAGAAAAAGUGAACAGGGCCUUGGUACUGCAGAAGGACACAUCUCCAGUCUUCAGGAAACCCAGGAAAUACUCCAAAAAGAACUAGAGUUAACCAGAGCAAGGCUGAGAGAGACCACGGAUUCAUUGUAUAAUGUUGAGGGGGAACUAGAACAGGAGAGACAGCAGCAUGAAGCAAAGAUUUCUGCCAUGAGGGAAGAGGAGAAGAUGAAAGUUGACAGAAUGGCUCGUGACCUAGAAAUAAAAUGGACAGAAAAUCUUCGACAGGAAUGUAGUAAACUUCGUGAAGAGUUGAGGCUUCAGCAUGAAGAGGAUAAAAAGGCAGCCAUGACUCAGCUCUUGCAACUGAAAGAACGUGAAAAAAAUGCUGCCAGGGAUGGAUGGCAAAAAAAAGUGGAAGAUCUUUUAGACCAGCGGCACUGUCUCGGUGAAGCUUUGCAUAAAUCUAUCAGCAAUAUCUCCUUGCUGAAACAGAAUCUGGAGAUGCAGCUUUCGCAGUCUCAGAGCUCCUUGCAACAGCUACAGGCACAGUUUAGUCAGGAGCGACAAAGGCUUACCCAGGAGCUCGAGGAACUGGAAGAAGAGCAUCAGCAAAGGCAUGAAUCCCUGAAAGAAGCACAUAUACUUGCAUUUCAGAACAUGGAACAGACAAAAGAACAAGAACAAAAGGAACUAGAAGAGCAUUUACAACAAAAGCAUUCAGAAGAACUUCAGACACUGAAAGAAGCACACAAACAAGCUAUGGAAGGUUUCAAAUUGGAAAUGGAACAGGAACUUCAAACUCUUCGAUUUGAGUUGGAAGAUGAAGGGAAAGCUAUGCUAGCUUCUUUGCGCUCAGAGCUAAAUCAUCAACAUGCAGCAGCAAUUGACCAACUAAAGCACAACCAUCAACAAGAAUUGGUAGCUGCUAAAAUGGAACUUGAAAGAAGUAUAGAACUCAGCAGACGACAGGAGAAGGAAUUUUUGUGCCGAGUAUCAGAUCUACAGGAUGAACUCAAACAUCGUGACCAUCAUAUAUCUGAAUUGGACAAGGAGAUUCUGACUCUGCAUGAGAAUAUAAGUGCCCUAACCAAGGAACUGGAGUUUAAGGGGAAAGAAGUUCUCAGAAUACGCAGUGAAUCCAACCAACAGAUUAGGAUACAUGAGCAAGAUUUAAGCAAGAAACAUGAGAAAGAGUUGGAUGUCAUGACAGCAGACCACAUCAGAGAGAAACAAAGCAUACUCGCAGAUUUUAAUAAGACCCAAGAGCUACUCAAGGAAAUUAAUUCAGCUUUACAAGUUUCUUUAGAAGAAAUGGAAGAGAAAUACCAAAACAGAGAAUCAAGACGAGAAGAUUUACAGCUUAUUGCAGAGUUGAAAGACCUGAUUGCAGAGAGGGACCAACUCAUAAAGAAACUGAUCGAUGACAAAAAAUUCUAUCAACUAGAACUAGUCAACAGAGAGACUAACUUCAACAAAGUGUUUAAUGCAAGCCCUAAUGUCGGAGUUAUUAAUCCACUGGUGAAGCAAAAGAAGAAGAAUGAUAAAUCAACAAACAGGUUUGUGAGUGUCCCCAAUCUAAGUGCUCUGGAAUCUAGCGGAGUGGGCAAUGGACAUCCUAACCGCCUGGAUCCCAUUCCUAAUUCACCCAUCCACGAUAUUGAGUUCAACAGCAGCAAACCACUUCCACAGCCAAUACCACCCAAAGAGCCCAAGACGUUUUUGAGACGUCAGUAACAUGCAUGUGCAUGAAUUCAUGGAUUGUGAUGCUGGAGUUUCCAUUGCAAAUUGUUUCGUGCCUUGUAUUACCCCAGUAAAACGCCCUCCUCAGACUGAAGCUUCACCAGAUCCACAGCGCCAGGAAUGGUUUGCCCGAUACUUCACAUUCUGAGAGAGAAAUGUUUUUUGUGGCAUAGCGUGGUGUGGAUUGUUUAUAAGAGCAUGUCUUUAAGUAAAUCCUAUGUGAACAAGGAUUUAGUUAGUUUCCUGUACUAUGUCAAACACUGUGAAUGAGAAAGUAUUUGUCUGAGUUGAAAAUGCACUGUAUUUCAUGUGAUAUUUGUUGGAAUCACUUGACAUGAUUCUAUAUAAUGUGCGUAAUUAUAUCAAUUAUUUUUAUUUAAAAUGGAAGAGUCUUUAAACUUUGUAAUUAUUACAUAAUAAAUUUUGGUAGAACAAACAUAAGGCUUUCCCCAUUUUUCUUAUAAAUAUAUGUUUUCUUUGGUUGCAGGAAGGCUCCCCCUCCUCCCAAAGCAAUGUACUGCAUGGUUAUAAUAAAUCAAAAUAAUCUUUCAAUGAUAAAUAAAAUAAAAUAAAAAUAUCAGACUAGGCAAGGUAUGUUUAAUUCAUCUCAAAUUUAUUUUUAUUUGUAGCACUUUAAAAAUUGUCCUCUUACUUACAUUUAAAGUGGUGAAUACGAAAUAAAUCAGACAUAGUUUAGCUGCUAGCCUUCAAAACUGAGUGACUUUGACAAGACCAUAAAAAAAAUUUAGGGCGUUUUCUUUUUUGCUAACUUCUUACCUACUGCUCAUUAGACCCUGCACUCUAGAAAUAACCAGUACAUUUGAUGUUGAGUUUCACCAGAACCUGCCUUCAUGAAUUACCUGUUUAUUUUUUGAAUAUCUACAAAGACAAAUGAUCCUUGGAACAUUUGGGAUACUAAAAUAAGUAUCACUGGGUAAACCAAGAAUCAUAAAGGAAAUCUGCAUUUUGAGGACAUCCUCCUUCAGGCUGAAUAAAGGCUUUAAAAGUAAUCGUAUGCACACAAUUGUAUGCACAUCUUUUAUAAAAGCUCAAGUGUAUUCAAUUGUCUACAUAAAGGGAGUUUCCUUUUUACCUUUUGACAUGAAUCCAUGGACUACUUGGCUUUUUCAGGUAGUAAGCCUGAUUCUCUAGUCUGUUACGCCGGUGCAACACCAGUGUUACUUCAUUGCCAGACAACUGCUAUAACAGAUUGGAGAAUCAGGCCUACUGUCUUUAUUAUUUAUAUUUUUGAUAAUUCAAAGAUUACCACAAAGUAAUUAACACUGGUAGUCUCAGGGAGAAAAAUAUCUUUGUUUUAUGAAUGUAUUUUAAAUCUGAAACUCUCCUUAAAAACAGCAAAGGACUAUUAUGAUUUAUUAUUUAAAUAGGGUUUUAAUCGGCAAAUACAAAAGCACAUAGAUCUUCAUUAUUUCUUCUGAAGCCCUGACUAUAUCCUAUUUCCCUUUAUAUACAAAUAGCUAGUAAAAGAU